AAAGGUCUUUGUAUGCUCCGAAUGGGAGGAGGCACUUUUGCUAAGAGGUUUGCUUGUACUUCCUGCUUCCUCUAAAGGCUUGUUUCCCGACUUCGCAGCCAAUAUUCAGACUGAUUUUUUUUCUCAAGAGGAUUUGUUUACGUUUUUCUUCUUCUCUGAGAGAUGCUCUUGAGAAGCAUCAGUGUUGUGCUGAUUGUCCUGUCAGUCCUGGAGCUCUGCAUCACCAUCGGCUCUUCCAUCCUGGGGAUCAAAUCUCUGAGUAGGAAGGACAAGGGAAAAAAUGAGAGCACUGAUGACUCAGAGUCGACCAAACCACUGCUGGAGGAAGUCACUGCACAGGCUGUAGCCUAAAUGUCUUUGUUCAGUUACCAGGAAUCAUGUUCCUGUGCCUUUAUGACCUACAACUAACUUGAUGUCUUGAUGAUUUAUACUAAUUAAGACUUUGUCUUCCUAAGUGCUUCUUGAAAGGAAGACAUUAUACCAAAUUGAAUCAAUUGAUAAUUUCAUUGUUGUGUUGAUUAAAAUUUAAGUUGAGAAAAGUGCCUUAAACUCAAUUAUGUUUGUUGGUAAAAAUGUGUUUAUUCUUGUGAAAUAUGGGGUUAUUUUCUUUGCCAUUCUACAAUCUAUAGUGACAAUAUUAAAAAAGUUAGAAAAGAAUAUAAAUAAAAAAAAUACUGACACAGUUAAAAGCAGAUAUUACACUUAUAUUGACAUAUUUUUGUAGGCUAUUUGUGAAAUGUCAGAAUAAAGAGAGAACUGUUAUGUAUUUUUUAUUGCUUUCAUUAAAGUCAGAAGUAUACAUAUACUUCCUUAGUAUUUGGUAGAAUUGCCCCGUUACUGUUUCACUUGGGCCAAAUGUUUCAGGUAUCCUUCCACCAGCUUUCUACAAUAGUUUGUGGGCAUCUUGGCCCAGUCCUCUUGACAGAACUGGUGUAACUGGGUCAGGCUUGCAGGUCUUCUUGCUCCUUUUAGUGCCUUACCUUUUAGUGCCACCCACAUGUUUUCUAUGAGAUUGAGAUCAGGCCUUUGUGAAAGCCACUCCAAUACCUUGACUUUGUUGUAUUUUAAGCCACUUUGUAAAUAAUUUGGAGGAAUGCUUGGGUCAUUGUCCAUUUGGAAGACCCAUUUGUGCCCAAGCUUCAACUUCCUGGCUGAUGCCUUCAGAUGCUGCUUCAAUAUGUCCACCUAAUUUUCUUUUCUCAUGAUGUCAUCUAUUUUGUGAAGUGCAUCAGUCCCUCCUGCAGUAAAAAGCCCCACAACAUGAUGCUGCCACCCCCAUACUUCACAGUUGGGAUGGUGUUCUGAGGCUUCAAAGCUUCCACCUUUUUCCUCCAAAUAUACAGUUUAUCAUUAUGGCCCAACAGUUCAGUUGUUUCGUCAGACCACACAACAUGUCUCCAGAAAUAGAGAUUUUUGUCCCCAUGUGCAGUUGUAAACUGUAGUCCAUCUUUUUUUUAUUGUGGUUUUGAAGUAAUGGCUUUCUCCUCUAGAGUACCCUGUCAGCUCAUGGUGCUACAGGACUCAUUUUUACUGUGAAUAGUCACAUUGUCUUAACAGUUUCAGCCAGCAUCUUCACAAGAUCUUAUGCUGUUGUCCUUGGUUGAUUUGCACAUUUUACACCAAAAAACAUUCCUCUCUGGGAAUCCGUCUCCUUCCUGAGCAGUAUGAUGGUUGUACAUUCCCAUGUUUUUUAUACUUGCAUAUUGUUGUCUGAAUGUGGGACCUUCAGGCAUCUGGAAAUUGCACAUAAGGAUGAGCCAUACUUGUGUAGGUCCACAAUUCUUUUUCUGAUGCCUUCAUUGAUUUCUUUUGAUUUUCUCAUGAUGCCAAAGAAAGAGGCCCUUCUUCUUCUUCUUUAUAUUGUUUAUUGGCGGUUGGCAAACAGCAAAUUGGUGCAUUACUGCCACCAACUGAUGUGGAGUGUAGGAAGAGGCUCUGUGUUUGGGGUGUGCCUUUAUUAGCAUUCACAGGUGUGCCACCAAUUAACUCAAAUGGACUCAAUUAACCUAUCAGAAGCUUCUUAAGCUCAGAAUAAAAUCAUAUGAAGGUUUCUUUUUGUUUAAAGACACAAUAAACUUAGUUUAUGUAUACUUCUGACUUUGAUGAAAGUGUUUCACAAAUACUAAAAAUAUGUCAAUAUUUAUUGAUCUAAAACAAAAACGUUUACUCUGAUUUGAUGUUUGACGGAAAAGAAAAAAAGGUUUUAAUGUCUUUUUGUAUGUAAAUAUCUGGUUUAAACUGUACGUGUUUCAUCGUACGUGUAUCUCCUUAUGCAUCUGUGUAGGCUACUUUAAAUGUAGUUUAUGACACUGAAACUCAGUUAUGCUGAUUUCAAAGCUAAAGAUUUAUUCACUGACCAAACACAUUAUAAUAACAUCCUAGUUGAUGACUCAGUCUUUGUCUCCUCCCUUUUUUGGAACUGUUGUAACUGUACCUUUUUUUUAAUGGUACUUUUAGCAGUUAUGGUUCAGUACUGACCACUAUAUACCACUGUUAGUGCUCAACAAGACCAGUAAUGUUAAAUUAAAAUUACUAAUAAAACAUAAUUUUUUCACACGUAUAGCCAGCACAUUGAGCAGAUAUAUCAGACGCUGAGUAACUGUGUGGGGUUUAUUUGAGGUUUGGCUCUGGAGUCCUCUUGUUUUCCUUUUCCUAGUGUGACUGUUUUCUUGCCUUUAUCUAUGAGUUCACUUUCUGUUUGAUUUUGAUAAUGACUUUCUCUGUUUGCCUGUACUUUCUCUCUUUUCAUUUUGGUUCAUUUGUUUUUCCUCUUUUUUCCCAAAUGGGAGCAUCCAUGCUUAAAAUAGAAAAGGUAAAAUGUAAAUAUUUCUAAUUUGACACAGUAUAACAGGCAAUAUAGAGCAGGGGUGUCCAACUCCAGUCCUCGAGAGCUACUGACCUGCAUCCUUACUCCAAAACAGCUAAAUCAAAUGGUUAGGUCACCUCUUCAGCAUGCCCUCAAGUCUGGCAAAGGCCUGAUAACAAGCCAUUCAUUUGAUUCAGGUGUGUUGGAACAAGGAUGCUUCUAAAGGCUGCAGGACAGUAGCUCUCAAGGACUGGAGUUGGACACCCCUGAUAUCGAGGAACCAUACUUCAAUAGAAGCCAUGUUUGACUACGUUAUUUCAAGGCUUUUCAAAAAGACUCAUUUUAGUCUUAGUAGUUUUCUUGAUGUGUGUGCUCAUGUAAACUGUACUGAGAAAAAUAAAAGUCAAUUUUGUAAAUUAUGGUUUUUAUAAAAGUUGUAAAGUAGAAUGAUCCAAGGCAUGAUCACUGGCUAACAAUAAGGCUUUUCCAAUGAGCUUCAUCCAGUGUCCCUGACUUUACAGCUUAUAUUUUAAUAUGUUCUAUGGGUUAAUAAAAUGUAUGUGCUUCCAUAUUUCAGCAUAUCCUUGUAUGAUAACUGUUGAGAGUAUCUUCCCCAGUGGAAUUCAUGGGAUUUUCCAGAACAGAAAAUUGUCAUAACUGUUCAAAAAAAGCUCUAGUCCAAACUGCCCUGCAGAUCGUCCUCAGUCCAAUCGUAUUAGCAGAAAUAAAGGAGACAACACUUGAAAA